UACAGAGGGUGCAAGCGUUGUUCGGAAUUAUUGGGCGUAAAGCGCGUGUAGGCGGCUUUGCAAGUCGGGUGUGAAAUCCCUCAGCUUAACUGAGGAAGUGCGCCCGAAACUGCUUAGCUUGAGUGCCGGAGAGGAUGGCGGAAUUCCCCAAGUAGAGGUGAAAUUCGUAGAUAUGGGGAGGAACACCGGUGGCGAAGGCGGCCAUCUGGACGGUAACUGACGCUGAGACGCGAAAGCGUGGGUAGCAAACAGGAUUAGAAACCCCCGUAGUCC
rnacentral:rRNA from 1 species